UACGUAGGGUGCAAGCGUUGUCCGGAAUUAUUGGGCGUAAAGAGCUCGUAGGCGGUUUGUCGCGUCGGCUGUGAAAACCCGGGGCUCAACCCCGGGCCUGCAGUCGAUACGGGCAAACUAGAGUGCGGUAGGGGAGACUGGAAUUCCUGGUGUAGCGGUGGAAUGCGCAGAUAUCAGGAGGAACACCGGUGGCGAAGGCGGAUCUCUGGGCCAUAACUGACGCUGAGGAGCGAAAGCAUGGGGAGCGAACAGGA
rnacentral:rRNA from 1 species